rnacentral:misc_RNA from 1 species
AACGCACAUUGCGCCCUUUGGUAUUCCGAAGGGCAUGCCUGUUCGAGCGUCAUUAUCACCCCUCAAGCUCCCGGCUUGGUGUUGGACGGUUUGGCGGAGGGUUUACCCCCUGCCCCUCCUAAAGACAAUGACGGCGGCCUCGUUGGACCCCCGGUACACUGAGUUCUUCACGGGACACGUACUGGAUCAAGGGUGCGCGGGGCACGGUCUGCCUCCCCUCAGGGAGAACUUUUCUCAAGGUUGACCUCGGAUCAGGUAGGAAUACCCGCUGAACUUAA